GACGAACGCUGGCGGCGUGCUUAACACAUGCAAGUCGAACGGUGAAGCGCCUUCCUUUUUGGUGGGUGUGGAUGAGUGGCGAACGGGGGAGUAACACGUGAGUAACCUGCCCCCUUCUUCUGGAUAACCGCAUGAAAGUGUGGCUAAUACGGGAUAUUCUGUGUCUGUCGCAUGAUGGGUCUGGGAAAGAUAUUGUUUCGGUGGGGGAUGGUCUCGUGGCGGAUUAGCUUGUUGGUGGGGGGAUGGCCUACCAAGGCGGCGACGGGUAGCCGGCCUGAGAGGAGGAUGGGCGGUAAUGCAAGGGAUGAGCGGCGGAGACGCCUCCGGGGGGAAGCAGCGGGGAAGAUUGGUCAACGGGCGGAAGCAUGAUCCAGCAGCGCCGCGGGGGGGGAGAUGGACUUCGGGGUGUAGUGCCCUUCUGUCGGGAGAGAAGAGCAGCAGCCUAAUAUGUCGCUGUGUUGACGGUAGCUGAAGAAUAAGCACCGGCUAACUACGUG
rnacentral:rRNA from 1 species